AAAAUGUACCAUCUAGAACAUCUUGAAAAACCUGAAAAAGCCAUUGCGUUGCAAUUUCUACUCGUUGACUUUCAGUGCACAUUUUCUCAUCAGUUAUAUUUAUGCAUUUUCGUCUGGGUGAACUGAUAUGAUUUGUCCUUUAGCAUAUCUCGUUUCAAUGAUGCCUGCAGAUUCACGUUGGACAUUAUUUUCUGUGAACUCGGAUGAUGCAGAGCAUGGCAUGUAUAUAGUAGAAAUUCAUGAGUUAUAUAUAUAUAGUUGUUCUUAAUAUGUUAGCCUUUUUUUCUUAUCCACCCUUGUUCUUGGAAAAACCUGAUUCCACAGAUCAAGACAUGUUUUUAAUUAUUAAUCUGUCUUUCAAAUUUACAGAAUCGUGGGAAAAAAAUAGUCCAAAAUUAUGCUAUCUAGAACACCGAGGAAUCAAGCAAACAGUAUUUAAGAAAACUUGAGAGACCAUGAAAAUUCCAUUGCGUUACAAUUUCUACUCAUGGAGUUGCAAUGAACAUUUUCUUGUCAUUAAGUUUAUGCAUGGUUCGUCUGGGUUGACUGACAUGAUUUGCCCUUUAUCAAAUCUCGUUUCAAUGAUAUCUUCAGAUUCACGUUAGACAUUACUUCUAUGAAUUCGGAUCAUGCAGAACAUGGCGUUUAUGGUAGCAAUUCAUGGGUUAUCUAUAUAUAGUCUUUCUUUAUCCACCCUUGUUCUUGGAAAAAAACCUGAUUCCGCAAAUCAGGCCAUCAUUUCAUUAUUAAUCUGUCUGUUACCUUGCCUUCACACGCAUCUAAAGAAAUACACAUAAGAUAUCUCACAAUUUUAUACCACAUUAGGCAAGAAACACGCAUGGAUAACAUAUUGACGCACGACACAGUAAAAUCUGAAUACUACACAGCAUGGCACGGAAUAUACAAUUUAAGAAAUUCAUGGGGAUUUGGCAUCAGCUUACCAUUUUUACUCCAGCACACGUGAGCCUGCAGGGAUCACGCCACAAUACAACUUCACCAUACAAAGACCUUGCUGGAGCCCUUCCCCUAGUUUCUCAUUCUCUUGAUCUCCACCUCCGUUUCAGAUUGUUCAACGACGACGACGACCGCAAGACAUAGCCCCGGAGGCUCUAUCCAAAGAAAUGUGCCGGAAUAAGCAGGAAGAGCGUCCCAUGCGCAAAUUGCCUUCUCUCCUGCGGCUGACGGGAAGAGUGAGGCAGAGGAGUGAUCCAGCACCCGUCCUCCCCUCUGCAACAACAGCCACAGGAGGAGAUUCAAAUGCGGGGAGCGCAGCCAACGGCGGCUACUCCCUUCACGCAAUCCUCGCCACUCCCCCGUUCCCUCCUUCAAUGGAGGGGCGAGACGGCGCCAAGCGCGAAGGAAGAGCCGUCCCUCACAGGUCCCCUCCUCUUCUCCGAAUGCAGCCACUAAUCCGGCGCCGGCGAAGAGAUCCUCGAGUCCUGAUCCCACUCCCGCUCCGGCCAGCGACCAAGCUUCAGCAGCGACGGAGAGCUCUCCUCCCUCUCUUCCUCCCCGCACGAAGAGGACGGGGCCGAUCAGAUCUGCGUUCCUGUUCGUGCCUCGCGCGAAGCACCAUGGAGAAGAAGGGAAGGCCGUUACCUCCUUUAAUACGUAUCCUGUUUUACGUAUAAAUAAAUAUUAGACUAUAUUAUAUAUUAUAUCGUAGAGCUGCCUUAAUUGUCCUUCUAGAAGCUGUGGGGCCCGCCCAGUUUAAAAUAACUCCUUUUUUUAGUGGGGAAAUCGUAUACACGUGGCGUUUGGUGCUGGGAGGAUGCCACGUGGAUCCUGUCGCGGUCGUUAGAAUCGGUUUUUCUAGUUGAUCCUGGCUUUCUAUUCUCCGACGAGGCGGGCGAGCUGUGGGCCCCACAUCGCCCGCUUGAUCUUCCCCCUCGUCCUGCGCCUUCGAAUUUGAAACGUCCGCCGCCGCCGCCGCCGCCGCC
rnacentral:lncRNA from 1 species